CUCGAUCUGGCGAAGCGCUCCGAAACCGCCAUCUACGCCAUCGCGCUGCGUGGCAACGACGUCCAGGCCAAGGGAUUCCGCGAGGCGGAAUUCGUCAUGCGCACGUUGGCGCAGGAGACCGGCGGCCGGGCCUUCUUCCCCGCCC
rnacentral:misc_RNA from 1 species